rnacentral:lncRNA from 1 species
CAGGAAAUUUAUUAGCAUCUAGUUAAAAAGCGGGCACGCAGGCCUUUUUAUAUGCAAAAUGACAUCAUCAUUGAAUAUCAGAUAAUAACAAAUAAACAUCAUUAAUUGGGUUAAAUGUUAAGUGGCUAUGUCAGUGUCCACCCAUUAAUAUUAUUAAUUGGCUCAGAGAUUUGAGUGACUAGUGAGGCACCCUCCCAUCAUGGGAUGUCGUCGCCAUUGCUCUUUAGCACGAGGCUUACUCGGUGGAAAGGGGGGGGCUUGGGCAUCAUUUUACGUAGUUAGUGAUGUCAGUCUCGUGGUCUGGUCCAAGGUUCUUUUAUGAAUAGAACAUUUCAUUUAGUCGCUGUUCUCCUGGCCUUGGAUUAUACUAUGUUGCAAGUCAACGGAGAUCCGCUAACUCCGGGGCUAGUUAUGUCCUUAGAGAGAGAAAAUACAAU